AGAAUCAACGCUGGCGGCGUGCCUAACACAUGCAAGUCGCACGAGAAAGGGUAGCAAUACCUGAGUACAGUGGCGCACGGGUGAGUAACACGUGAAUAAUCUACCUCCGAGUGGGGAAUAACUGAGAGAAAUCUUAGCUAAUACCGCAUAAUACCCACGGGUCAAAGCAGCAAUGCGCUUGGAGAGGAGUUCGCGGCAGAUUAGUUAGUUGGCGGGGUAAUGGCCCACCAAGACGAUGAUCUGUAUCCGGCCUGAGAGGGCGCACGGACACACUGGAACUGAAACACGGUCCAGACUCCUACGGGAGGCAGCAGUGGGGAAUUUUGCGCAAUGGGGAAACCCUGACGCAGCAACGCCGCGUGGAGGAUGAAGCCCCUUGGGGUGUAAACUCCUUUCGAUCGGGAAGAUAAUGACGGUACCGAUAUAAGAAGCCCCGGCUAACUUCGUGCCAGCAGCCGC
rnacentral:rRNA from 1 species